GACGGAGGGUGCUAGCGUUGUUCGGAAUCACUGGGCGUAAAGGGCGCGUAGGCGGCGUAUCAAGUCAGGCGUGAAAGCCCCGGGCUCAACCUGGGAAUGGCGCUUGGGACUGGUAUGCUUGAGUUCGGGAGAGGAGAGUGGAAUUCCCAGUGUAGAGGUGAAAUUCGUAGAUAUUGGGAAGAACACCGGUGGCGAAGGCGGCUCUCUGGACCGAGACUGACGCUGAGGCGCGAAAGCGUGGGGAGCAAACAGG
rnacentral:rRNA from 1 species